rnacentral:rRNA from 1 species
UACGUAGGGUGCGAGCGUUGUCCGGAAUUAUUGGGCGUAAAGAGCUUGUAGGCGGUCUGUCGCGUCUACUGUGAAAAUCCGGGGCUCAACCCCGGACUUGCAGUGGGUACGGGCAGACUAGAGUGUGGUAGGGGAGACUGGAAUUCCUAGUGUAGCGGUGAAAUGCGCAGAUAUCAGGAGGAACACCGAUGGCGAAGGCAGGUCUCUGGGCCACUACUGACGCUGAGAAGCGAAAGCAUGGGGAGCGAACAGG